rnacentral:rRNA from 1 species
AGCGAACGCUGGCGGCAUGCCUAACACAUGCAAGUCGAACGAAGGCUUCGGCCUUAGUGGCGCACGGGUGAGUAACGCGUGGGAAACUGCCUAUUGGUGGGGAAUAACGACGGGAAACUGGCGCUAAUACCGCAUAAGCCCUUCGGGGGAAAGAUUUAUCGCCGAUAGAUGUGCCCGCGUCCGAGUAGCUAGUUGGUGAGGUAAUGGCUCACCAAGGCGACGAUCGGUAGCUGGUCUGAGAGGAUGAUCAGCCACACCGGGACUGAGACACGGCCCAGACUCCUACGGGAGGCAGCAGUGGGGAAUAUUGGACAAUGGGCGAAAGCCUGAUCCAGCAAUGCCGCGUGAGUGAUGAAGGCCUUAGGGUUGUAAAGCUCUUUCGGGUGGGACGAUGAUGACGGUACCACCAGAAGAAGCCCCGGCUAACUUCGUGCCAGCCGCCGCCGUAA